rnacentral:tRNA from 1 species
GCCCUUAUAGCUCAGUGGUAGAGCGCAUCACUCGUAAACCUGUUUACGUAAACUCAAAUGAUGAGGUCCAUCGUUCAAUCCGGUGUGGGGGCA